AUGGGGUUUGGGCUCAGCUGGGUUUUCCUUAUGGCUAUAUUGAGAGGUGUCCAGUGUGAGGCACAGCUUUUGGAGUCUGGGGGAAGCUUGAUGCAGCCUGGUGGGUCUCUGAAACUCUCCUGUGCAGCCUCUGGAUUCACCUUCAGUAGCUACUGGAUGGCCUGGAUCCGACAGGCUCCAGGGAAGGGGCUGGAAUGGUUAUGUCGAAUGAAUCCUGACGGAAGUACCACAAACUAUGCCAACUCUGUGAAGGGCCGAUUCACCAUCUCCAGAGACAACCCCAAGAACAUGCUGUAUCUGCAAAUGAACAACCUGAGAGCCGAGGACACGGCCUUGUAUUACUGUGCAAGAGACACAGUGAGGGAAAACGCAAUCUGCUCCUAG